GCAGUCGUGGCCGAGUGGUUAAGGCGAUGGACUCGAAAUCCAUUGGGGGUUCCCCGCACAGGUUCGAAUCCUGUCGGCUGCG
rnacentral:tRNA from 1 species